GGGGUUCGUGUACUUAUAGUGGUAAUACCCAAUCCACCCAGGCGUUUUGUAGAGUUACCACUCACAAGAUUAGUCCUUGUCAAGGUUAUAAGAACCCUAGGGUGGUCCUUAUGACAAGACCUCUUGUUCCUUUCACCACAUAACCAUUAUUCUCUACUUGAGAAAUAAUGAUUAUUAGAGUAUCAGGAUAACCUCUGACGUCUAGACUCCUAUAGCAAUACUCACGCUACUGAAAACGCCAUCAUAAAUAUCUC
rnacentral:lncRNA from 1 species